rnacentral:rRNA from 1 species
GUGUCAGCCGCCGCGGUAAUACCGGCAGCACGAGUGAUGACCGCUAUUAUUGGGCCUAAAGCGUCCGUAGCUGGCCGUGCAAGUCCAUCGGGAAAUCCGCGCGCUUAACGCGCGGGCGUCCGGUGGAAACUGCAUGGCUUGGGACCGGAAGACCAGAGGGGCACGUCCGGGGUAGGAGUGAAAUCCCGUAAUCCUGGACGGACCACCGGUGGCGAAAGCGCCUCAGGAGGACGGAUCCGACAGUGAGGAACGAAAGCUAGGGUCUCGAACCGGAUUAGAAACCCCCGUAGUCC